CACAGGUAGGAGGAGAGGCAGGCAGGUGGAGGGGGGAGGGGAAGCAGGCCUCCUGCCGAGCAGAAAGCAGGAUGUGGAGCUUUAUCCCAGGACCCUGAGAUCAUGACCUUAGCCGAAGGCAGAGGCUUAACCUGCUGAGCCACACCCAGGCACCACAACCUAUUUAUUUUUGAAACAUAUUUACCUCAGUGAAAUUCUUUUCCUGGUUUUAGUUUUUUCCCCAGCUUUACUGAGGUAGAACUGACGUGAUGUUGCGAAUAUUGAAGACGUGUAAGUUACAGAACAUGUAUAUGCGACAUGAUUAUCAUAAUGAGGCAGAACUGGAUGAUUGAUUUACAUAUGGAUUGAAUUGAAGGAACUGAGAAUUAAAGAAAGGCCUACAGCGAGGUCAAACCCCAUCCCAGUUGUCCAAACAGUACAUUCUGAAUAAAUAUUCUGUUGGUUACAAAGUUUGGCUCUCUUGGUAAGACAGACCGGCAUUUGAACCUUUUUAACGUUCCUUAACCUCCC
rnacentral:lncRNA from 1 species